rnacentral:rRNA from 1 species
GUGGGGAAUAUUGGGCAAUGGGCGAAAGCCUGACCCAGCAACGCCGCGUGAGGGAAGAAGGCCUUCGGGUUGUAAACCUCUGUCCUUGGUGACGAAAAAAAUGACGGUAGCCAAGGAGGAAGCCCCGGCUAACUACGUGCCAGCAGCCGCGGUAAUACGUAGGGGGCGAGCGUUGUCCGGAAUUACUGGGCGUAAAGGGUGCGUAGGUGGCCUUUUAAGUUGGAUGUGAAAUACCCGGGCUUAACUUGGGGGGUGCAUCUAAUACUGGAGGGCUAGAGUGCAGGAGAGGGAAGCGGAAUUCCUAGUGUAGCGGUGAAAUGCGUAGAGAUCGGGAGGAACACCAGUGGCGAAGGCGACUUACUGGACUGUAACUGACGCUGAGGCGCGAAAGUGUGGGGAGCAAACAGGAUUAGAAACCCUGGUAGUCC